AAGGUACUCCCUCCGUCUUAAAAAUUUGUCUUAGCUUUGUCUAAAAAUAAAUAUAUCCAAAUAUUAAAACAUGACUAGAUAUAUUUAUAUAUAAAUAAAUCUGCGAUAAAAUUUUUGGGACGGAGGGAGUAUGUG
rfam:Hordeum vulgare subsp. vulgare, WGS project CAJW01000000 data, contig: morex_contig_46457